rnacentral:lncRNA from 1 species
GAAGCUUCAUUUAGAGUGGAAUUAAGGUUUUAUAUGGAUUUACAUUAAUUUCCCAAUUUCUGAUUUUUCAAGGCACAGCUUUUCCUGAAUUAGCAAGUUCCAUCAGCUAACCCGAGCUCUUCACUUUGAAUUCAAUCCCUCAUUUUCUUUGGCAGGAAUAAAAGCAUUAUUUGUAAGAGUUAGGAUUAUACAGAAGGCUGUAAUUGCCAUCUGUAUUUUCACAUGAUGGCUUGGAUGAAGGCUGUGUCAUUUGAGUGCUUUAUACCCUUUCCUGUUUAUACUGUGCAGCCAGUGAUAUGGAUCCCAUGAUCAUCCCCAGAUCAAUUUCUGUAUGGCAAAGUUCUGCAUAUUUUAUAGGGAAGUAAUGGUAACUAUCUGAAUACUUGGUGCAGCUUCUUGCCCUCAGCCAUGCUACCUCCUACCUCAUCCUUGCCUCUGAAAUUGAUUUCUUGACUGGCACUUUCCCCAGCUGUCUACAACUCUCAUGCUCUUUGAUGAGCUAGCCAAAAUUAGGCAGUAUUACCACUGCACCUCCCUUAACUAGAAGUCCUUCAUUUGUUUUGUCAGGUACGAGUGUACAGGUGAAAUCAGAUGGACUCAUCUGACCAGCACAGCUUCUUUCCACGCCAGCCACCUCUCAAGCAAAAUCUUCAUGCUGGUAGCUGAGUCUCUGUGGGUUCUUGAUGGGUUAUUAUCUACUCCUCCGACGUGGUUAAAGAUCCAGCUCUAGUUUUAGAGAAAUUUCUCACCAGUGGUAAUUAGCAGCAAGCUGAGCAGAGGAAAAAUAUGCUGACAGGCAGAAAAUCUCUACAUGAGAAUACAAGUUGGUCAUGCUCUGGGAAGAAGUGGUUUGCUGCAGUCCUGGCUUGGGUGAGCAUUUGUCCUUACCAUAAAGCAACUGUUUCAUAUGUAGAUGUGUGGAAUAUAUUCACACAUUUAAAG